AAUGGAACCUAAAUACCCUAGAGACACCAGAACCUGUCUGAUCUUGAAAGCCAAGCAGGGUCAUUCCUGGUUAGUGCUUAGGUAGAGGAAUCACCAAUGAGUAUCACGUGCGGUAGGCUUCAUUU
rnacentral:rRNA from 11 species